rnacentral:rRNA from 1 species
CGAUGCUGACCGCUGAAACGGCGUGUUCGGCGCGUGGAUCUCCUCUUCUUGGGGAUACAAGUGGGUGGCGGGUCAAACCGUCAUUCGCUCCCCAUCGUUUACUUUGAGAAAAUUGGAGUGCUCAAAGCAGGCACAACCCUGCCUUGAACAAUGCAGCAUGGGAUAAUAGAACAGGACGAAGGUCCUAUUUUGUUGGUUUCUAGGGCUUUUGUAAUGAUUAAAAGGGACAGUUGGGGGCAUUCGUAUUCAAUUGUCAGAGGUGAAAUUCUAGGAUUAAUUGAAGACGAACUACUGCGAAAGCAUUUGCCAAGGAUGUUUUCAUUAAUCAAGAACGAAAGUAGGGGGAUCGAAGAUGAUCAGAUACCGUCGUAGUCUCUACCAUAAACGAUGCCGACCAGGGAUCCGGAGAAGUUACGUGGAUGACUCCCCGGGCACCUUGUGAGAAAUCAUAAGUCGCUGGGUUCUGGGG